GCGGACGUAGCUCAGUUGGUAGAGCACCUGGUUGUGGCCUAGGUGGUCGUGGGUUCGAGCCCCAUCGUUCGCCCCA
rnacentral:tRNA from 1 species